AACGCACAUUGCGCCCUUUGGUAUUCCGAAGGGCACACCUGUUCGAGCGCCGUUUAUCCUACUAAGGCUUAGCCUUGCGUUGAUGAUGCCCCCACCCCCCUUUUUUCCUCCUUUUUUUUCCCUCUUUUUUCCCUUCCAUUCUGGGGAAAAUAAGAUGGGGUGAAGUAGAGGUUGUGGGGGCGGGGGCUCUUCAAAACUAAGAGAGGCGUCUUUCACAGAAGCUUACAGCGUAGCAAAGUUUCUUUUUUAUCGCUGUUUUUGGGCAUCUUGUGAAUUUGAUAGCCAAACUAUGUUAAAAACGAUUUUGGCCUCGGAUCAGGUGGGGAUACCCGCUGAACUUAA
rnacentral:misc_RNA from 1 species